AAAUAAUUAAUGCUUUUAACUCAUUUUAGGAUAAUGAUAAACAAGAAAUGAAAGAGGAAGUAGACAUAAAAGAAUCAGAUGGUAAAGGUUUAGACGAACCUACAGUCAAAAAGGCAAGACUUUCUAAAGAUAACACAAUGCUCGAAACAGCUAAGCUUGGAAAAGACAUACUGGGCAAUGAAAAAUUGGACGAA